rnacentral:rRNA from 1 species
AUUGAACGCUGGCGGCAGGCUUAACACAUGCAAGUCGAGCGAGCGGCGGACGGGUGAGUAAUGUCUGGGAAACUGCAUGAUGGCGGGGGGUAACUACUGGAAAAGGUAGCUAAUACCGCAUACCAUCAGAUGUGCCCAGAUGGGAUUAGCUAGUAGGUGGGGUAAUGGCUCACCUAGGCGACGAUCCCUAGCUGGUCUGAGAGGAUGACCAGCCACACUGGAACUGAGACACAGUCCAGACUCAUACGGGAGGCAGCAGUGGGGAAUAUUGCACAAUGGGCGCAAGCCUGAUGCAGCCAUGACGCGUGUGUUAAGAAGGCAUUCGGGUUGUAAAGCACUGUCAGCGAGGAGGCGUUACUCGCAGAAGAAGCACCGGCUAACUCCGUGCCAGCAGCCGCGGUAAUUC